rnacentral:rRNA from 1 species
CAGCAGCCACGGUAAUACAAAGGGUGCAAGCGUUACUCGGAAUUACUGGGCGUAAAGCGUGCGUAGGUGGUGGUUUAAGUCCGUUGUGAAAGCCCUGGGCUCAACCUGGGAAUUGCAGUGGAUACUGGGUCACUAGAGUGUGGUAGAGGAUAGUGGAAUUUCCGGUGUAGCAGUGAAAUGCGUAGAGAUCGGAAGGAACAUCUGUGGCGAAGGCGACUAUCUGGGCCAACACUGACACUGAGGCACGAAAGCGUGGGGAGCAAACAGGAUUAGAUACCCGAGUAGUCCCUGUCUCUUAUAC